CAAGAGUCCGAGAAGUAGAGGGCUGAGCAAUCACCAACUGUAUGAAAUACGGCAAGAGCAAGUGACUGCACCUAAGGCAGGAGAACCACGGAUAUAUGCACAGACUGGGGGACACGUGGACGGAGAAGAGCUCUGUGGAAAGGGAUCUGAGGGAUCUGGUUGGUGAUAAGUUGAAUAUGAUGAGCUCAGAGCUCCCUUUCCAGGUGAUCCUUUGGAUUCGGAUUCUGUGCGUGUGCCCGUGGGACAACCCAGAGGCCCUGCUGGUGAAUCAGCAGAAUGGAAUCCUGUCUAUGAGCCUGAGGGGGA
ensembl:lncRNA